rnacentral:rRNA from 1 species
GACGAACGCUGGCGGCGUGCUUAACACAUGCAAGUCGAACGAAGAGCGAUGGAAGCUUGCUUCUAUCAAUAUUAGUGGCGAACGGGUGAGUAACGCGUAAUCAACCUGCCCUUCAGAGGGGGACAACAGUUGGAAACGACUGCUAAUACCGCAUACGAUCUAAUCUCGGCAUCGAGGAUAGAUGAAAGGUGGCCUCUGCAUGUAAGCUAUCACUGAAGGAGGGGAUUGCGUCUGAUUAGCUAGUGGGAGCGGUAACGGCCCACCAAGGCGAUGAUCAGUAGGCGGUCUUAGAGGAUGGACGGCCACCUUGGGACUGCGACCCGGCCCAGACUCCUACGGGAGGCAGCAGUGGGGAAUCUUCCGCAAUGGACGCAAGUCUGACGGAGCAACGCCGCGUGAGUGAUGACGGCCUUCGGGUUGUAAAGCUCUGUUAAUCGGGACGAAAGGCCUUCUUGCGAAUAGUGAGAAGGAUUGACGGUACCGGAAUAGAAAGCCACGGCUAACUACGUG